rnacentral:lncRNA from 1 species
UAUAGUGGCCCUCCUAGAGGGGAGGAGGAGGGCCGGGUAGCCAAAGGAAUGGCCGCACUGUGGCAGCUUAAUUUAGGCAGUCCCUGUUCUGGCUUCUAGUCCUUUCUUCUCCCACAUGCCCUUCUCAUAAUGCAGAUGACUCUCCUCUUAGGAUAGGGUUACAUUGUAAGUUGAAAAUAUCCUAGGUUGAAAAUACAGUAACACACCUGACCUCUGGGAAUAUCAUGGCUUAUGUAGCCCACCGUAAACGUUCUCGGAACACUUACAUUAGCCCAAAGCCAGCAAGACUCCCUAACACAAAGCCUGUGUUGUAAUAAAGUAUUGAAUAUCUCAUGUUCACACAUAGGCGAGUGUUUGUAGACAUGAUGGGAUGUGAAAACAAAAUGCAAUAUCCAAAAGAUGCUAGCAGCACAAUGUACCCUGGAGCACAGGCUCUUCACCUUUGGAGUCAUGUGGCAGACCCUGAGCUGCGGCCCAGUGCUGCUGCCACCCACAAGGGCAUGAGGACAUGUGCUGCACAUAUGCCCAGGAAAAGAUCAGAAUUCAAACAAUUGAAUGUAUG